AAAACCAUUGGUUCAAAAUCAACCAAUCAAAAUCAUCUUAGUUGCUGGGCAGAUAUUCUACAGCUCAGCCAAUCACAAUAGCCUAUUUGUCUUCGACUGUUUUAUAGUAAUACCCGCUGAAACACGAAAAAGUACCGUAGCUACGGAAUCCAGGCAGAAUGUGGACACCUACUGGCCACUGUGAAAGAUGCACUCCACCGAGACAGAGCUUGGGACUGGAUGCCAUGUGCGUAAGAGCUGAGGUAGUUGGACCUGCCCGCGACUCUCUGGAUCUCCAGCGGACCUCCAGACACGUCGAUGAUCCCUCUGCAGAGUGGAGAGAUGGCAGAAAAAUGUAAAGUUUUAUCUGUACCUGUGCACUCCUGCACCGCACACGCUAGAAACAGAGGCGUAGACCCCUGAGCCGAACACAG